CCUAGGGUGGGCUGCAGUGGGGAAUAUUGGACAAUGGGCGAAAGCCUGAUCCAGCCAUGCCGCGUGUGUGAAGAAGGCCUUCGGGUUGUAAAGCACUUUCAGUGGGGAAGAAAGCCUUGGGGCUAAUACCCUCGAGGAAGGACAUCACCCACAGAAGAAGCACCGGCUAACUCCGUGCCAGCAGCCGCGGUAAUACGGAGGGUGCGAGCGUUAAUCGGAAUUACUGGGCGUAAAGCGCGCGUAGGCGGUCUGAUAAGCCGGUUGUGAAAGCCCCGGGCUCAACCUGGGAACGGCAUCCGGAACUGUCAGGCUAGAGUGCAGGAGAGGAAGGUAGAAUUCCGGUGUAGCGGUGAAAUGCGUAGAGAUCGGGAGGAAUACCAGUGGCGAAGGCGGCCUUCUGGACUGACACUGACGCUGAGGUGCGAAAGCGUGGGUAGCAAACAGGAUUAGAUACCCUAGUAGUC
rnacentral:rRNA from 1 species